UCAUCAUCGAAUUUCGAGGACAUUGCUUCAGCUUCCUUGGAGUCAAAGGUACUUUGUCUUAUACAUAUGUCUUUGUAAUAUAGCAAACAUGUUUCCUUAAUAUGAACAUAAUUUCAUGGUCAGGUACUCAGGUGAUCUCGAACACUCUGAAGCUGUGCUUUACAAGAAGAGAUCCUUCACUCCUCGAGGAUCAAACUUCGACUUUCCAUAGGGACACUGAAACCAGAGCUGAAUACAACAGCCAAUGACACCUUGGACUUCGCGACGAUGGGAGAAAAAGGCUGAUUAUUGUUGUUGAAAAUUGCAGAACUCGCUAGUUCAAGAAUCAAGAGUAUCUGAGCUUUAUAAACACAGCAAACAAGUAAGUUAUAAGAUUGUUCUUCGAGCAUCGUAGUUCAUAGAAGUACAGUACAAGUAAAUUGACAAAGUUUAACUGAUGUACGUAUAAUUUCCUUAACACGGUAGAUUUAAUGAAACUGAAGGUUUAUAUAGCUUCUCUAGCAGGAAACGUUGCAGUCUUUGGAUCGGUAAGCACGAAAAGUUUCAGUCUUGACCCCGGAGAUAUGUUUGUCCUGCCUUGAAUUGGCAGCUCUAUUAGCACCAUGCUCCGUGUCAUGGCUUGGAAAGCACCAUGCUGUGUCAUUGCUAGACCACGACUCCUGCGAUGACUAUACCACCUGACACACGUCAAGUACUCCGUUAUAAGAGUCUAGAAAGCACCAACUCCGCGCAUGGAUUCUCAAUAUCCACCAGUCAAAUCUCCACUGAAAGCACCAAAGAGUCAACUUGGCCUGCCAGGGGUCGUCAUACUGCUAGGGACAAUCCCCAUACGGAAAAAUUCAAAGCGGCCCAAAGACCGAUAAAUUUACAAAACAAGACAUUACACGGAUGUUUUCGUUUAUAGAGUGUAACUAGAUUCAUCAAUUCGGGCUAUGUUGUUCCCCUUGGACAUCAACAACGAAAUAUUGUUAAUGAAUAAUUGGCAUUCCAACGGAUGGAUAGAAUCCACUUGUUUGUUUUCUAUCCAAAACUUUGUGUGGCCUGAAACCAAUUCUCAUUGCAAGAACACUACAAAUUACACCCAUGACAUAACAACAGAAAAGCCAGAGGGAGUGAAGAAUAUCUUUUUUUAUCUUCCCUCCAAGAAAAAUAAAUAUCUCAGCUAGCUCAGCCACUCACUUCUUAAACCCUA
rnacentral:lncRNA from 1 species